rnacentral:siRNA from 1 species
GUUGAAUGCGGUGUCUUUUCCG